AUUGAACGCUGGCGGCAGGCUUAACACAUGCAAGUCGAGCGGAGCGAGGGUGCUUGCACCUUAGCUUAGCGGCGGACGGGUGUGUAAUGCUUAGGAAUCUGCCUAUUAGUGGGGGACAACAUUCCGAAAGGAAUGCUGAUACCGCAUACGCCCUACGGGGGAAAGCAGGGGAUCUUCGGACCUUGCGCUAAUAGAUGAGCCUAAGUCGGAUUAGCUAGUUGGGGGGGUAAAGGCCUACCAAGGCGACGAUCUGUAGCGGGUCUGAGAGGAUGAUCCGCCACACUGGGACUGUGAGACGGCCCAGACUCCUACAGGGGGCAGCAGUGGGGAAUAUUGGACAAUGGGCGGAAGCCUGAUCCAGCCAUACCGCGUGUGUGAAGAAGGCCUUUUGGUUGUAAAGCACUUUAAGCGAGGAGGAGGAGCUCUAGGUUAAUACCCUAGAUGCUUGGACGUUACUCGCAGAAUAAGCACCGGCUAACUCUGUGCCAGCAGCCGCGGUAACAC
rnacentral:rRNA from 1 species